CCUACGGGAGUCUGCAGUGGGGGAUAUUGCACAAUGGGGGGAACCCUGAUGCAGCGACGCCGCGUGGGUGAAGGAGCGUUUCGGCGCGUAAAGCCCUAUCGGCAGGGAAGAAGGAGGACGGUACCUUACUAAGAAGCCCCGGCUAACUACGUGCCAGCAGCCGCGGUCAUACUUAGGGGGGAAGCGUUAUCCUGAUUUACUGGGUGUAAAGGGGGGGCAGACGGCAGCGCAAGCCAGGAGUGAAAGCCCGGGGCCCAACCCCGGGACUGGUCUUGGAACUGCGCGGCUGGAGUGCAGGAGGGGCAGGCGGAAUGCCUGGUGUAGCGGUGAAAUGCGUAGAUAUCAGGAGGAACACCGGUGGCGAAGGCGGCCUGCUGGACUGCGACUGACGUUGAGGCCCGAAAGCGUGGGGAGUAAACAGGAUUAGAUACCCCUGUAGUC
rnacentral:rRNA from 1 species